UACAGAGGUCCCGAGCGUUGUUCGGAUUCACUGGGCGUAAAGGGUGCGCAGGUGGGCUGGUAAGUUUGAUGUGAAAGCCCCGGGCUUAACCCGGGAAUGGCAUUGAAUACUACUGGUCUGGAGGAUUGGAGGGGGGACUGGAAUUCUUGGUGUAGCAGUGAAAUGCGUAGAUAUCAAGAGGAACACCAGUGGCGAAGGCGAGUCCCUGGACAAUACCUGACACUGAGGCACGAAAGCCGGGGGAGCAAACAGG
rnacentral:rRNA from 1 species